rnacentral:rRNA from 1 species
GUACGGGGGGGGCAAGCGUUGUUCGGAAUUACUGGGCGUAAAGGGCUCGUAGGUGGCCAACUAAGUCAGACGUGAAAUCCCUCGGCUUAACCGGGGAACUGCGUCUGAUACUGGAUGGCUUGAGUUCGGGAGAGGGAUGCGGAAUUCCAGGUGUAGCGGUGGAAUGCGCAGAUAUCAGGAGGAACACCGGUGGCGAAGGCGGCUCUCUGGGACGGUACUGACGCUGAGACGCGAAAGCGUGGGGAGCGAACAGG